GUGUAAGCUAUUACUUACGAGCAUGUGCUCUGGAGUUAAACAGCCUGAAUUUGUAACCCAGCUUGGUCAUUCAGUAGCUGUGUGAUAUUGAGCUAGUUACUUAACCUCUCUGUGUCUCCAUUGCCAUCUGUAGUAAUAGUGCCCGUCUCUUAUCAUUGCUAUGAAGAUCAGCAAGGCCUGAUAUGUGAUGGUGAUGACAAUUUUCCUUCAUGGGAAUUUAGGAUUCGUUUUGCCUGGAUGGCCAUGGAUUGGAUUGCCCGAGACCCAGCCAUAAGUCAUGACUUACUGAAAAGAAAGGGAGUUUUCUGAAGCAGAAGGGGCCUUGGAGGUCAUCCAGCAGCUUUUGAAAGCACUCCAGCAGCCAGACUACUGGGCUCGGUACCUUCCCUGGCAAUAUGGUUUCCUGAUUUACUACAAGGUUUUUCAGACCAUGGUUCUACAACUGGCUAUAAAAUUUCAGUCUUGUUCCAAGGAUAUAAAAGUGGGAACCUUUCAUAUUCUUCAGUCCAGGCUACAGCUGGAAGAAUUCUAAAGGCUGAAGCUAUAGCUGACAGAUACUUCUUCCUGGUAUUUGAACCAAAAAUGCCUCUAACUAAAGUACCAGGACAUAAAGGACUGAAUGAACGAAUAUUUUGUCACUUAUCAAACAUUAUGAGAUCAAUUCUCUUCAUCAGUAAAACCUGCAGAAAAUAAACUUCUAGUUGUGGUGAAGAUUAAACAAGAUAAUAUGGAUGAAUUUGUCUAGUAUAAUCUGGCAAAUGACUCUGGAUACCUCUAAAAGAAGCUAUUCCAACUUGGCUCUUUUGAAACCAAAGUUGCUAGAAAUCUGCAGUUACCAUUGAUUGUCCGUGUUCGAAAUGUAUCCUCGUGGACCUGAACUUGCAUUUGAGACAUGUGUAAAAGGAAGUCUAGGUCUCCUGAUAAAGCAUCUAAUAAACAUUCAUCUGGAAAACCAACUCAAGAAAUCCCCUUCUUUAGUUUUUUCUUUCCUCUUUAUU